GUGGGGAAUUUUGGACAAUGGGCGAAAGCCUGAUCCAGCCAUGCCGCGUGUGUGAAGAAGGUCUUCGGAUUGUAAAGCACUUUAAGUUGGGAGGAAGGGCAGUAAGUUAAUACCUUGCUGUUUUGACGUUACCGACAGAAUAAGCACCGGCUAACUUCGUGCCAGCAGCCGCGGUAAUACGAAGGGUGCAAGCGUUAAUCGGAAUUACUGGGCGUAAAGCGAGCGUAGGUGGUUCAGCAAGUUGGCGGUGAAAUCCCCGGGCUCAACCUGGGAACUGCCUCCAAAACUACUGGGCUAGAGUACGGUAGAGGGUAGUGGAAUUUCCUGUGUAGCGGUGAAAUGCGUAGAUAUAGGAAGGAACACCAGUGGCGAAGGCGACUACCUGGACUGAUACUGACACUGAGGUGCGAAAGCGUGGGGAGCAAACAGGAUUAGAUACCCCGGUAGUCC
rnacentral:rRNA from 1 species